rnacentral:rRNA from 1 species
UACGUAGGGUGCGAGCGUUGUCCGGAAUUACUGGGCGUAAAGGGCUCGUAGGCGGCCAACUAAGUCACACGUGAAAUCCCUCGGCUCAACCGGGGAACUGCGUGUGAGACUGGAUGGCUUGAGUUUGGGAGAGGAAUGCCGGAAUUCCAGGUGUAGCGGUGAAAUGCGUAGAUAUCUGGAGGAACACCGGUGGCGAAGGCGGCAUCCUGGACCGGUAUUGACGCUGAGGCGCGGAAAGCC